rnacentral:rRNA from 1 species
GUCCAGACUCCUACGGGAGGCAGCAGUAGGGAAUCUUUCACAAUGGGCGAAAGCCUGAUGGAGCAACGCCGCGUGCAGGAUGAAGGCCUUCGGGUUGUAAACUGCUUUUAUAAGCGAGAAAUAUGAUGGUAACUUAUGAAUAAGGAUCGGCUAACUCCGUGCCAGCAGCCGCGGUAAUACGGAGGAUCCGAGCGUUAUCCGGAUUUAUUGGGUUUAAAGGGAGCGUAGGCGGGUUGUUAAGUCAGUUGUGAAAGUUUGCGGCUCAACCGUAAAAUUGCAGUUGAUACUGGCAUCCUUGAGUACAGUAGAGGUAGGCGGAAUUCGUGGUGUAGCGGUGAAAUGCUUAGAUAUCACGAAGAACUCCGAUUGCGAAGGCAGCCUUCCGGCGCCCUACUGACGCUGAGGCACGAAAGUGCGGGGAUCGAACAGGAUUAGAUACCCGAGUA